rnacentral:misc_RNA from 1 species
GAUGAAGAGCGUAGCGAAAUGCGAUACGUAAUGUGAAUUGCAGAAUUCAGUGAAUCAUCGAGUCUUUGAACGCACAUUGCGCCCCCUGGUAUUCCGGGGGGCAUGCCUGUCCGAGCGUCAUUGCUGCCCUCAAGCACGGCUUGUGUGUUGGGCCUCCGUCCUCCUCCCGGGGGACGGGCCCGAAAGGCAGCGGCGGCACCGCGUCCGGUCCUCGAGCGUAUGGGGCUUCGUCACCCGCUCUUGUAGGCCCGGCCGGCGCUUGCCGACACAUCAAUCUUUUUUCCAGGUUGACCUCGGAUCAGGUAGGGAUACCCGCUGAACUUAAGCAUAUCAAUAAGCGGAGGA